GAAGGAGGAGGAGGAAGGUGCAUCUAGAUUGAGGAGCUGUUUGUCUCUGGGACUCCCCCUUCCUUUGACUUCACCAUGGCUUGGCUCCUUCUUCUCUUCACCCUUCUCAGUUACUGCUCAGGUCUGUUUCUGGGUGGUUAAUGGGAUCAGGUUGUCCUGUGCAGGAAUAAUGGGUUGAGCAACAAACCCAUUUUUCGUGUAAUUUAUCAUAGAAACACAAUGUUUUUCUGAUGCAUAUAUUUUUCUUUUUCUUUUUCCAAAGGUGUCAUUUCACAGUCUGUAACUCAGCCAGCCUCGGAGUCUGUGUCCCUGGGCCAAACUCUGAAACUCUCCUGCUCUAGAAGUAGUGGUGGUGACUGGGGCAGCUUUCACUGGUAUCAACAGAAACCAGGACAGGCUCCUCGCUUUGUGUGGUAUGGCUCCAGCACCAGGGGAGAAGGGAUCCCAGAUCGGUUCACUGGCUCUGAAUCUGGGGACACUGGCUCUUUAACCAUCUCCAACAACCAGGCUGAAGAUGAGGCUGUUUAUUUCUGUGGUGCCUGGGACAGAACUGGUAGCAAGUUCCACAGUGAUACAAUCUGAU